rnacentral:rRNA from 1 species
AUUGAACGCUGGCGGCAGGCUUAACACAUGCAAGUCGAGCGGAGAUGAGGUGCUUGCACCUUAUCUUAGCGGCGGACGGGUGAGUAAUGCUUAGGAAUCUGCCUAUUAGUGGGGGACAACAUUCCGAAAGGAAUGCUAAUACCGCAUACGUCCUACGGGAGAAAGCAGGGGAUCUUCGGACCUUGCGCUAAUAGAUGAGCCUAAGUCGGAUUAGCUAGUUGGUGGGGUAAAGGCCUACCAAGGCGACGAUCUGUAGCGGGUCUGAGAGGAUGAUCCGCCACACUGAGACUGGGACACGGCCCAUACUCCUACGGGAGGCAGCAGUGGGGAAUAUUGGACAAUGGGGGGAACCCUGAUCCAGCCAUGCCGCGUGUGUGAAGAAGGCCUUUUGGUUGUAAAGCACUUUAAGCGAGGAGGAGGCUACCUGGAUUAAUACUCUAGGAUAGUGGACGUUACUCGCAGAAUAAGCACCGGCUAACUCUGUGCCAGCCGCCGCCGUAAUAC